GACGAACGCUGGCGGCGUGCUUAACACAUGCAAGUCGAACGAAGUGGCGAACGGGUGAGUAACGCGUAGUCAACCUGCCCUUCAGAGGGGGACAACAGUUGGAAACGACUGCUAAUACCGCAUACUGAAGGAGGGGAUUGCGUCGGAUUUGCUAGGUGGAGGGGGAACGGCCCACCAAGGCGAUGAUCAGUAGCCUGGCUGGGAGGGUGAACGGCCACAAUGGGACUGAGGCACGGCCCAGACUCCUACGGGAGGCAGCAGGUGGGAAUCUUCCGACAUGGACGAAAGUCUGACGGAGCAACGCCGCGUGAGUGAUGACGGCCUUCGGGUUGUAAAGCUCUGUUAAGCGGGACGCGGUACCGGAAUAGAAAGCCACGGCUAACUACGUGCCAGCAGCCGCGGUAAUAC
rnacentral:rRNA from 1 species